UGCUUUUUUCUCAUUUCUUCAUCUUUUCUCUUUAUGAAUCCACUUUCAACCUCGUUGUCCAACUUCUCUCUCUAACUCUUUGGAUUUUGAUCUAGGGUGUUUGCUAUUGGGCUGAGGUUUGUUUUGUAGAAAGACUUUGUUCAUGGAAUUUUUGAAGUGUUUUAACAUUAUUUGGGGCAGGUCUUGUUUUGUAGAGGAAGAAAAUCACUGCAAGACCUUUUGGUUUGGAUGUGGGGAAGAUAUGAAAAUUGAGGUGUGGAAGAAAUGAAUGUUAAGGAGAGGGGAAGUAGGCUAUAGGGAUAGGCAGAUGAUGAUGGGUGUGAGGGCAAAGUCAAGCCUGAAUUGAGAGAGAGAAAGUUUAAGGUUUUGUAAGCAGUGCAUCAGUGAUUCAGUUCUUUAUGCGUGAUGGUCUGAUACCCUGUGAGGUUUAUUAAAGGGGUAUACAUACGCCAUCAUCAAUUUGCAAAUGGCUUUGCCUCUCGGAAACUUAGAUCACCCUUUGUUUUAUUACUGUUUCCUUGUUUCCUUGCAUGUGACGGUGAGCAAAUUUCAACUCUUCUUCAUUGACAAAAGAUCAAAGAGUUAAUAAGAUACUGCAAAUUUGAAGUUUCUAUCUCUGGGGCUAUUUUUUUUUCCAUCUUUUAUGAGAAUCCAAAUUAUAUGGUGGUCCUGCAGCGUGAGAUCCUUCUCGACACCAUUAGAGUAGUUUUAAUGUUGGCGUUUUGUCUUAAUGGGACCUUUUUAUGGGUCUAGUUUUUGCAAGAAGUUUUAAGGUCGUUUUCUAUUGGAGAAUUUAGAGAGAAGAGAGAUGUGAUUUGGUUGAGAAGAGAAUGGGAAGUUCUUAGCGAGAGAGAUGUAAAUUGAGAGAGAGAAAGAGAGAGAGAGACGGGCGAUUUGGGGAAGAGGAGAAUGAGAAGUUCGUUAAUAGAAAAACGGAUAUUGCAAAGAGGUUGUAGGGGGAAGUAAAUUUGGGAUUAAAAUGGGUGUGAAAGGUCAAGAGGGAAAUCAGGUGGUGGAGAGAGAGAGUGGAAUCUCGUUAAAUAACAUUAACAUGGGAAAAGAGAACGGAAGAAAAGGACGUUUUGAAAAGGACAGAGG
rnacentral:lncRNA from 1 species